rnacentral:rRNA from 1 species
ACUCCUACGGGAGGCAGCAGUGGGGAAUAUUGCACAAUGGGGGAAACCCUGAUGCAGCCAUGCCGCGNGUUGAAGGAAGGCCCUUCGGGUUGUAAAGCACUUUCAGUAGGGAGGAAGGUAGUGUAGUUAACACCUGCAUUAUUUGACGUUACCUACAGAAGAAGCACCGGCUAACUCCGUGCCAGCAGCCGCGGUAAUACGGAGGGUGCGAGCGUUAAUCGGAAUUACUGGGCGUAAAGCGCAUGCAGGCGGCCUGUUAAGUCAGAUGUGAAAGCCCGGGCUUAACCUCGGAAUGCAUUUGAAACUGGCAGGCUNGA